UAUUAAGCGGAGGAAAAGAAACUAACUAGGAUUCCCUUAGUAGCGGCGAGCGAACAGGGAAAAGCCCAGCACCGAAUCCCACGGCCGGAAACGGUCGUCGGGAAAUGUGGUGUUUGGAAGGGUCCGUUAUCCCGAGAACAUGCGACGCGUCCAAGUCCAUCUUGAACGGGGCCACUACCCAUAGAGGGUGCCAGGCCCGUAGCGACCGUCGCCGUUUUCGGGAGGAUCUCUUCUGAGAGUCGGGUUGCUUGAGAGUGCAGCCCUAAGUGGGUGGUAAACUCCAUCUAAGGCUAAAUAUAACCACGAGACCGAUAGCGAACAAGUACCGUGAGGGAAAGUUGAAAAGAACUUUGAAGAGAGAGUUCAAUAGUACGUGAAACCGUUCAGGGGUAAACCUGAGAAACCCGAAAGGUCGAAAGGGGAGAUUCAUUCGCGUUUCGGCGGUCGGCGUCGGAUUGUCGUGCGACGGGUGGCGUUCGCGUCGCUCGCUCCUUCAGUCUGACGACCCGUAGUCGAACGUGUGCACUUCUCCCCUAGUAGGACGUCGCGAUCCGUUGGGCGUCGGUCUAAGGCCCGCGGUGGAGCCCGCGAGCACGGUUCGCCGUCGCUUGCGAACCCGUGGUGUUUCCCGACCGACUCGCUCGACGGUCAACAGAAGGCGCGGGGCCGCGAAAAAUUAGUUCGCGUCCGGCACGUGGCAAGCUCGUCUGUUGGUUCGAAGAUCGGACCUAGUGCCGAUCCCGACCGCAUACGGCUGUGGCUGCGGUGUUCUCGGACAGACUCCGUAAUAACGCCAAUCUGCGACGCUAUAGCUUUGGGUACUUUCAGGACCCGUCUUGAAACACGGACCAAGGAGUCUAGCAUAUACGCGAGUCAUUGGGAAACAACUAAACCUAAAGGCGUAAUGAAAGUGAAGGUCCGCCUAGCGCGGACCGAGGGAAGACGGGCGAUUCGUGAAUUCGGUCGCCUCGCACUCCCGGGGCGUCUCGUUCUCAUUGCGAGAAGAGGCGCACCAAGAGCGUAUACGCUGGGACCCGAAAGAUGGUGAACUAUGCCUGGUCAGGACGAAGUCAGGGGAAACCCUGAUGGAGGUCCGUAGCGAUUCUGACGUGCAAAUCGAUCGUCGGAACUGGGUAUAGGGGCGAAAGACUAAUCGAACCAUCUAGUAGCUGGUUCCCUCCGAAGUUUCCCUCAGGAUAGCUGGCGCUCGUAGCGUACGAGUCUCAUCCGGUAAAGCGAAUGAUUAGAGGCAUUGGGGUCGAAACGACCUCAACCUAUUCUCAAACUUUAAAUGGGUGAGAUCUCCGGCUUGCUCGAACGUGAAGCCGCGAGAAUAUCGGAUCAGAGUGCCAAGUGGGCCAUUUUUGGUAAGCAGAACUGGCGCUGUGGGAUGAACCAAACGCCGAGUUAAAGCGCCUAAAUCGACGCUUAUGGGAUACCAUGAAAGGCGUUGGUAACUUAAGACAGCAGGACGGUGGCCAUGGAAGUCGGAAUCCGCCAAGGAGUGUGUAACAACUCACCUGCCGAAGUUACUAGCCCUGAAAAUGGAUGGCGCUGAAGCGUCGUGCUUAUACUCGGCCGUCAGCGGCAUGUGCGAUCGCCUCGUGCGAUCAUGAAGCCCUGACGAGUAGGAGGGUCGCGGCGGUGUGCGCAGAAGGGCUGGCCGUGGGGCCGUCUGGAGCCGCCGUCGGUGCAGAUCUUGGUGGUAGUAGCAAAUACUCCAGCGAGGACCUGGAGGACUGACGUGGAGAAGGGUUUCGUGUGAACAGCCGUUGCACACGAGUCAGUCGAUCCUAAGCCCUAGGCGAAAGCCGAUGUUGAUGUUGGUGUCGGUUUAGAUGUCAUGCUAAAAACAUAUACUCUGAUAUAUGAGCAUACCACGCACCCAUCGGGCGAAAGGGAAUCCGGUUCCUAUUCCGGAACCCGGCAGCGGAACCGUUUUACAAUCGGGCCCUCGCAAGAGAGUUCGUCGGGGCAACCCAACAUGACCCGGAGACGCCGUCGGGAGAUCCGGGAAGAGUUUUCUUUUCUGCAUGAGCGUUCGAGUUCCAUGGAAUCCUCUAGCAGGGAGAUAUGGUUUGGAACGCGAAGAGCACCGCAGUUGCGGCGGUGUCCGGAUCUUCCCCUCGGACCUUGAAAAUCCGGGAGAGGGCCACGUGGAGGCGUCGCGCCGGCUCGUACCCAUAUCCGCAGCAGGUCUCCAAGGUAAGAGCCUCUAGUCGAUAGAUAU
rnacentral:rRNA from 1 species